rnacentral:rRNA from 1 species
AAGUUUGAUCCUGGCUCAGAAUGAACGCUGGCGGCGUGCUUAACACAUGCAAGUCGAACGGUGAAAGAGGAGCUUGCUCCUCUGGAUCAGUGGCGAACGGGUGAGUAACACGUGAGUAACCUGCCCCAGACUCUGGGAUAAGCGUUGGAAACGACGUCUAAUACCGGAUACGAGCUUCAGCCGCAUGGCUAGGAGCUGGAAAGAAUUUCGGUCUGGGAUGGACUCGCGGCCUAUCAGGUAGUUGGUGAGGUAAAGGCCCACCAAGCCUACGACGGGUAGCCGGCCUGAGAGGGUGACCGGCCACACUGGGACUGAGACACGGCCCAGACUCCUACGGGAGGCAGCAGUGGGGAAUAUUGCACAAUGGGCGCAAGCCUGAUGCAGCAACGCCGCGUGAGGGACGACGGCCUUCGGGUUGUAAAGCUCUGUGGGGAGAGACGAAUAAGUCGGAGUUAAUACCUCCGAUGAUGACGGUAUCUUCUUAGCAAGCACCGGCUAACUCUGUGCCAGCAGCCGCGGUAAGACAGAGGGUGCAAACGUUGUUCGGAAUUACUGGGCGUAAAGCGAGUGUAGGCGGUCUUGUAAGUCGGAUGUGAAAGCCCCGGGCUCAACCCGGGAAGUGCACUCGAUACUGCAAGGCUAGAGUACUGGAGAGGUUGGUGGAAUUCUCGGUGUAGAGGUGAAAUUCGUAGAUAUCGAGAGGAACACCGGUGGCGAAGGCGGCCAACUGGACAGAUACUGACGCUGAGACUCGAAAGCGUGGGGAGCAACAGGAUUAGAUACCCUGCUAGUCCACGCCGUAAACGAUGGGUGCUAGUGUCGCGGGCUUUGACUCCCGCGGUGCCGUACUAACGCAUUAAGCACCUCCGCCUGGGAAGUACGG